GGCGCAGCCUGAUGCAGCAACGCCGCGUGAGGGACGACGGCCUUCGGGUUGUAAACCUCUUUUAGCAGGGAAGAAGCGAAAGUGACGGUACCUGCAGAAAAAGCGCCGGCUAACUACGUGCCAGCAGCCGCGGUAAUACGUAGGGCGCAAGCGUUAUCCGGAAUUAUUGGGCGUAAAGAGCUCGUAGGCGGUUUGUCGCGUCUGCUGUGAAAUCCGGAGGCUCAACCUCCGGCCUGCAGUGGGUACGGGCAGACUAGAGUGCGGUAGGGGAGAUUGGAAUUCCUGGUGUAGCGGUGGAAUGCGCAGAUAUCAGGAGGAACACCGAUGGCGAAGGCAGAUCUCUGGGCCGUAACUGACGCUGAGGAGCGAAAGGGUGGGGAGCAAACAGGCUUAGAUACCCUGGUAGUCCACCCCGUAAACGUUGGGAACUAGUUGUGGGGUCCAUUCCACGGAUUCCGUGACGCAGCUAACGCAUUAAGUUCCCCGCCUGGGGAGUACGGCCGCAAGGCUAAAACUCAAAGGAAUUGACGGGGACCCGCACAAGCGGCGGAGCAUGCGGAUUAAUUCGAUGCAACGCGAAGAACCUUACCAAGGCUUGACAUAUACGAGAACGGGUCAGAAAUGGUCAACUCUUUGGACACUCGUAAACAGGUGGUGCAUGGUUGUCGUCAGCUCGUGUCGUGAGAUGUUGGGUUAAGUCCCGCAACGAGCGCAACCCUCGUUCUAUGUUGCCAGCACGUAAUGGUGGGAACUCAUGGGAUACUGCCGGGGUCAACUCGGAGGAAGGUGGGGAUGACGUCAAAUCAUCAUGCCCCUUAUGUCUUGGGCUUCACGCAUGCUACAAUGGCCGGUACAAAGGGCUGCAAUACCGUGAGGUGAGCGAAUCCCAAAAGCCGGUCCCAGUUCGGAUUGAGGUCUGCAAC
rnacentral:rRNA from 1 species